rnacentral:lncRNA from 1 species
GCCCAUAUUCAUACAAAUGAUUCUCCUUUUCAAUAAAUUUUGCAAAUAAUUUCAUAAUUCAUCACUAAAUAUGUUUACAUCACAGGCCAUAAAGCCCUACAAAAUAGUAUCACAUGUUCCUAUACAAAACUAUCAAAUCAUACGUACAACAAAACAGAAUACAAAAAAUUUAGUUCAACAAAAAUAAAUUUUCUUCCUCUUUCAUCUUCCAGAACACAACACCUGUCAUUGAAAGGAUCGACCAUUAGAAGCAUAUAGAAUACAAGGGAAACAAUCAAAAUAAAGAAAUGAAAGGCACACAUAAUGAAAAUUACGACAACAUCAAUAUUUUUUAUAUUGCCAUACAAACAGAAAUGUAAUAUGAUUGCUUAGGACAUAUGGCAUUAUCAACAAGACAGCAAAAUUUAGAGUGCCAGCCCAGGAAGAAGGCAAAGCAUAUUUUACAGUGCGAGCUCAGGAUGCCACCAUGCAAACUAAACGAAGGGCAAGAGAGCAGGACGCAACUCUACCUGGAAAUGCUGCUAGCCAGCGACAGAAGUAAGUUGGUCGGAGCCAAAGAGGGGACUGCCAAAGAAGCCAAGCAUGCCGACGAGGAUGGGGUAACCGGUGAUCGUCUCCUGGUUCUCCUUGAUCUU